GACGAACGCUGGCGGCGUGCUUAACACAUGCAAGUCGAACGGAAAGGCCCCUUUGGGGGUACUCGCGUGGCGAACGGGUGAGUAACACGUGAGUAACCUGCCCUUGCCUUCGGGUUAACUACAGGAAACUGGGGCUAAUACCGGAUAGGAAUCCUUGCUGCAUGCUGGGGGUUGGAAAGCUUCGGCGGGUUUGGGUGGACUCGCGGCUUAUCAGCUUGGUGGUGGGGGAGUGGCUUGCCAAGGCUUUGACGGGUAGCCGGCCUGGGAGGGCGACCGGCCACCAUGGGGCUGGAGUACGGCCCAGGAUCCUACGGGAGGGAGCAGUGGGGAAUAUUGCACAAUGGGCGGGAGGCUGAUGCAGCAAAGGCGCGUGGCGGAAGACCGCCCUCGGGUUGGAAACCGCUUUCAGCAGGGGACAAGCUGGUGGUGACGGUACCUGCAGAAGAAGCACCGGCUAACUACGUG
rnacentral:rRNA from 1 species